rnacentral:misc_RNA from 1 species
GAUGAAGAACGUAGCGAAAUGCGAUAAGUAAUGUGAAUUGCAGAAUUCAGUGAAUCAUCGAAUCUUUGAACGCACAUUGCGCCCGCCAGCAUUCUGGCGGGCAUGCCUGUUCGAGCGUCAUUUCAACCCUCAAGCUCUGCUUGGUGUUGGGGCCCUACGGUUGACGUAGGCCCUUAAAGGUAGUGACGGACCCUCUCGGAGCCUCCUUUGCGUAGUAACUAACGUCUCGCACUGGGAUUCGGAGGGACUCUUGCCGUAAAACCCCCAAAUUUUUAAAGGUUGACCUCGGAUCAGGUAGGAAUACCCGCUGAACUUAAGCAUAUCAAUAAGCGGAGGA